rnacentral:tRNA from 1 species
GCUGUUGGUCUAGGGGUAUGAUUCUUGCUUCGGGUGCGAAAGGUCUGGGUUCAAAUCCCGGACGAGCC